rnacentral:lncRNA from 1 species
UUUUGGAGGGGGUCAUCUAAAAAUACAUAUUUUAAAUAAUUUGUGGUAAAUAUCUUCCUACAUAUUUGAAAUGAGCAUAUAGGAAGGAAACUUGUUAAAAUACCUCUACAAAAUAUUUGGAGAACCAAAGGAGGUUAAAGAACAAUUAAACUGGCAGAUGUCAUAAUUAAUCUGAACUGGAAUAUCAGAAUUUAAAAUCACACACUCACUUGAAGUUGAGAGAGAGACUCUUUCUUUCUGUGGUUGGGUCCUGGGUGGUCGGUAAAACCUGAGAGAUGUAGUCAAAAAUAUAGAAACUGAUUAAAAUAAGCUUAAAACUUUUACUCUUUUGCCUGUAUUGUUUAAAUUUAGAGCAUUAUUUCAAACUAAUUCUCUCAAAAGAGUAUGAAAAAGGGUGUUAACAGUUUUAGAAAUAGUUUAUUAACACUUAUUUAUUGUUCUAUCAACAGGACUGGUAUAAAAACGGGCUGUCCAGAGUGGGGUUAUCCAAGCUACAGACUUGCUGAUUGAGAUACAUAAAAUUGUACUAUAGAUAUAAGGGCUCCAUCUAGUGGCAACUCUUCAGAAUUGCAUACGUAUUCCUACAAAG